GCCCUUACUGCUCAGUAACACGUAGUCAACCUGCCCUUGGGUCGAGAACAAUCUCGGGAAACUGAGGCUAAUUCUCGAUAAAUCAAGAUUCCUGGAAUGGGUUUUGGUCAAAAUGAUGUAACAGCAUCUUGUUAUUUUCGCCCGAGGAUGGGACUGCGGCCGAUCAGGCUGUUGGUGAGGUAAAGGCUCACCAAACCAGUAACCGGUACGGGCUUUGAGAGAAGGAGCCCGGAGAUGGACACUGAGACAAGGGUCCAGGUCCUACGGGGCGCAGCAGGCGCGAAACCUUCGCAAUGCGCGCAAGCGCGACGAGGUUAUUCCGAGUGAUUUCCGCUGAGGAAAUCUUUUCUCAGAUCUAAAAUGUCUGGGGAAUAAGGGGAGGGCAAGUCUGGUGUCAGCCGCCGCGGUAAUACCAGCUCCUCGAGUGGUCAGGGCGUUUAUUGGGCCUAAAGCAUCCGUAGCCGGCUCAGUAGGUCUCCUGUUAAAUCCAACGGCUCAACUGUUGGUCUGCAGGAGAUACCACUGGGCUAGGAGGCGGGAGAGGCGGACGGUACUCCGAGGGUAGGGGUAAAAUCCUUUGAUCCCCGGAAGACCACCAGUGGCGAAGGCGGUCCGCCAGAACGCGCUCGACGGUGAGGGAUGAAAGCUGGGGGAGCGAACCGGAUUAGAUACCCGGGUAGUCCCAGCUGUAAACGAUGCGAGCUAGGUGACACAAGGCCUUCGGGGCCUUGUGGUGCCGCAGGGAAGCCGUUAAGCUCGCCGCCUGGGGAGUACGGACGCAAGUCUGAAACUUAAAGGAAUUGGCGGGGGAGCACAAGGGC
rnacentral:rRNA from 1 species